AACGAACGCUGGCGGCAGGCUUAACACAUGCAAGUCGAGCGCCCCGCAAGGGGAGCGGCAGACGGGUGAGUAACGCGUGGGAAUCUACCCAUCCCUACGGAACAACUCCGGGAAACUGGAGCUAAUACCGUAUACGCCCUACGGGGGAAAGAUUUAUCGGGGAUGGAUGAGCCCGCGUUGGAUUAGCUAGUUGGUGGGGUAAUGGCCUACCAAGGCGACGAUCCAUAGCUGGUCUGAGAGGAUGAUCAGCCACAUUGGGACUGAGACACGGCCCAAACUCCUACGGGAGGCAGCAGUGGGGAAUAUUGGACAAUGGGCGAAAGCCUGAUCCAGCCAUGCCGCGUGAGUGAUGAAGGCCAAAGGCUUGUAAAGCUCUUUCGUCGAGUGCGCGAUCAUGACAGGACUCGAGGAAGAAGCCCCGGCUAACUCCGUGCCAGCCGCCGCGGUAACAC
rnacentral:rRNA from 1 species